rnacentral:rRNA from 1 species
AUUGAACGCUGGCGGCAGGCUUAACACAUGCAAGUCGAGCGAGCGGCGGACGGGUGAGUAAUGUCUGGGAAACUGCCUGAUGGAGGGGGAUAACUACUGGAAAAGGUAGCUAAUACCGCAUACCAUCAGAUGUGCCAAGAUGGGAUUAGCUAGUAGGUGGGGUAAUGGCUAACCUAGGCGACGAGCCCUAGCUGGUCUGAGAGGAUGACGAGCCAAACUGGAACUGGGACACGGUCCAGACCCCUACGGGAGUCAGCAGGGGGGAAUAUUGCACAAUGGGCGCAAGCCGGAUGCAGCCAUGCCGCGUGUGUGAAGAAGGCCUUCGGGUUGUAAAGCACUUUCAGCGAGGAGGCGUUACUCGCAGAAGAAGCACCGGCUAACUCCGUGCCAGCAGCCGCGGUAAUAC